rnacentral:rRNA from 1 species
AGUGAACGCUGGCGGUAGGCCUAACACAUGCAAGUCGAACGGCAGCACAGGAGAGCUUGCUCUCUGGGUGGCGAGUGGCGGACGGGUGAGGAAUACAUCGGAAUCUACUCUGUCGUGGGGGAUAACGUAGGGAAACUUACGCUAAUACCGCAUACGACCUACGGGUGAAAGCAGGGGAUCUUCGGACCUUGCGCGAUUGAAUGAGCCGAUGUCGGAUUAGCUAGUUGGCGGGGUAAAGGCCCACCAAGGCGACGAUCCGUAGCUGGUCUGAGAGGAGAAUCAGCCACACUGGAACUGAGACACGGUCCAGACUCCGACGGGAGGAAGCAGUGGGGAAUAGUGGACAAUGGGCGCAAGCCUGAUCCAGCCAUACCGCGUGGGUGAAGAAGGCCUUCGGGUUGUAAAGCCCUUUUGUUGGGAAAGAAAUCCAGCUGGCUAAUACCCGGUUGGGAUGACGGUACCCAAAGAAUAAGCACCGGCUAACUUCGUGCCAGCCGCCGCCGUAA